GGUUGUGGAAAACACGGAUGAUAUCGCAAUAUUUGACGAGGUAUUUGAAUGGCCUGUAGCAAGACCAGUAGAAAGCCAUGAGGCUUUGGAAAUUCAACUUCUUAAUUACAACAAAUAUUUCACCAACAAAGUUACUGGAUGUUACGGACUGGUUCUGCAACAAUUGGUAGAAGAUGGA